rnacentral:rRNA from 1 species
AAUGAACGUUGGCGGCAUGGAUUAGGCAUGCAAGUCGGGGGAAUCCCAGCAAUGGGGGAACCGGCGUAAGGGGCAGUAAGGCAUGGGUACCUACCUUGGGGUUCGGGAUAGCCAUCAGAGAUGGUGGGUAAUACCGGAUGACGUCGUGAGACCAAAGAUUGAUCGCCCUUAGAGGGGCCCAUGUGAUAUUAGCUAGUUGGUGGGGUAACGGCCCACCAAGGCGAAGAUGUCUAGCGGGUGUGAGAGCACGACCCGCGCCACUCGCACUGAGACACUGGCGAGACACCUACGGGUGGCUGCAGUCGAGGAUCUUCGGCAAUGAGUGCAAGCUUGACCGAGCGAUGCCGCGUGAGCGAUGAAGGCCUUCGGGUUGUAAAGCUCUUUAGUGGGGGAGAAAAGCCGCAAGGUGUGAUCUAUCCCAAAAAUAAGCACGGGCUAAGUUCGUGCCAGCCGCCGCCGUAA